rnacentral:lncRNA from 1 species
GCAUGAUCGCACUCGGUUGAUAUAGAAAGAAUGGCAAAAAGUUUAGGAGGGAAGAAACAAUGACGAGCAUGAUGAAUGAGACGGACGAUCACAUAGCAUGGUCUAAAGGGAAUGUGAUGCAUCAGAACAAUGACAUAUGCGAUUGAUCAAAUCUCGGUAGUGGGAGACUAGGAAGGAAAUGCUAUCAGCCCAAGCUAACAUCUCAAACCUAGCCUCAUGAAGGGGAAAAGCUACUAGACAUCAUCAGAGCUAAGCAACCUGCUUUCCACGGGGGCGGAUCUCUUCCAAAUGUCACGAAUUUCUCGACCUUGCAGGCGGUGCUUAGCUGAGGGAGGAAUCUUGGAUGGAGAACAAAAUGCUCGUACUUCAGUAGAGACAAGUGGGCAGAAUCGCGGUAGAGCAACCGCAGUGCGACACCGGAGCUUUCCUAUAGCUUGGUAGUGCAGAGAAGGCUGCCUCCGCCAUACGCAUCAGCCGCCUCGACCGAGCUAGUCGGAGAGUCGUGGUCCAUCACCUUCCCAAUCCGGAUCUGUGUGAAGCACCCGUGUGGGUGUGAGGGGCCGAGGGCUAUGCCAUCUGUACUGAUUUUUUUACUCGAUGUCAUCCGUACUGAUUACUAUCGAACCGGCCCAAAACUGUAGCAAGCGUGAUAUUCUUUUCCCCAUUUUUUCCAGAUCUCCAUGCUUUGUAGUACGGUUUCUCAUUUUUUUUAUUGUUUUUGGUUUCCCCUUUCCAAUUUUUCAUUCCAUCGGUUUUCAUCAGUAUUUUGUUUCUUUCUUCAGUUUUUUCUUCUUUCU